CAAGAAACCCUAAUUUGUUUUUCUGCCAAUCAGCCAUAAUUGUUGUUCAAGAUUGGAUUUUAAAGGCAAAGGUAGGGAGGAUAUACAAUGCCUUCGAAAAGAUUGACUAAGCUUUGUAUGGAAGAGGACGAUCAUGCAUCUACAGAAAAGUGCGAUGCAAUCAUGGAUAUUUGCUGCCAUUUUAAUCUCUUGGGCCCCUAGGAAUCUUGGUAGAAGGUAUUGGGCUUGUCCAUACUAUGAGGAUGCUCGAGCAUGUGAUUUUUGGCAUUGGAGGGAUGGUGAAAUUGACCAUAGAUCAAAGUUUGUUAUUCCUAAAUUGAAGAAAGAGAUCGGAAAACUUGAGAGCCAAGGUGAAGCGUUUGAAAAACUUGACAAUCUAACGGCAACAAAGAAGGAUGAACAUGAGAUUGGUAAGAUAGGUAUUCAACUAGAUUAACUGGAAACUGAAGUUGAGAAGAUGAAAGAAAGAGAGAAGAAAUGGAGGAGCAAAGCUGCUCAAUCAACAAAG